UGCUUUCCUCACAUGACUGUCAAGUUGAGUCCAGCUGAUGGUAGAAGACCUCAGUUCCUCUCCACAAGGGCUUCGCCAUGGGACUGCUCGAAUGAUCUCAUGACAUGGUGCAGCUCUCCCCCGUGUGAGAAAUUAGAAAAGGUGGAAGUGUCAUUGUCCUUUAUGACCUAGCUUCUGAAGUCACACACCGCUGCUUCUGCAGUAUUCUACGGGUCACACAGUUCAUCUCUGAUUCAGUGAGAGAGGAGACCACGUAAUGGCACGGACACCAGAAGCUGAAGUUCCCUGGGGGCUGACUUGAUGCUGACUGCCAGGGAAAGCAGGAAGAGAAUUAUUGGAUCAAUGCACUUGCAUGGGCAUGAGCACGUGGGAUCCAGCACAAAAGCAGACGGCAUAGCUCUGUUAGGUGCACAGAGAGGUCAUCGGUAGGAGCAGUGUGGCAGUGCGAUUGCAGAAGGAUGCAAAAGAGAGAGCAUGCAGAGUCCGCUGUUUCUUCAAGUCUGCUGUUUCUUGUGAUCAGGAGGAAAGUCAGCCAAGGAUACAGCCAAAAGGACCACAAAGAAACUUAGCCCAGACAGGGCUGAACUGAGCUCAAGCCUAGUCCUGGAUAUUUGAGUGAAACUAGACAAUAAAAUCCUUUUUGUGUGGAAGCUUGA